GACAGAGGUGCCGAGCGUUAGGCGGAAUCACUGGGCUUAAAGCGUGUGUAGGCGGACCCGUCAGUGUCUUGUGAAAUCCCCCGGCUCAACCGGGGAACGGCUGGGCAUACUGCGGGUCUGAGACACCUAGGGGCGAGCGGAACAGGCGGUGGAGCGGUGAAAUGCGUAGAUAUCAGGAGGAACACCGAUGGCGAAGGCAGGUCUCUGGGCAUUAACUGACGCUGAGGAGCGAAAGCAUGGGGAGCGAACAGG
rnacentral:rRNA from 1 species